AACGAACGCUGGCGGCAUGCCUAACACAUGCAAGUCGAACGAAGGCUUCGGCCUUAGUGGCGCACGGGUGCGUAACGCGUGGGAAUCUGCCCUUGGGUUCGGAAUAACUCAGAGAAAUUUGAGCUAAUACCGGAUGAUGACGUAAGUCCAAAGAUUUAUCGCCCAAGGAUGAGCCCGCGUAAGAUUAGCUAGUUGGUGGGGUAAAGGCCUACCAAGGCGACGAUCUUUAGCUGGUCUGAGAGGAUGAUCAGCCACACUGGGACUGAGACACGGCCCAGACUCCUACGGGAGGCAGCAGUGGGGAAUAUUGGACAAUGGGCGAAAGCCUGAUCCAGCAAUGCCGCGUGAGUGAUGAAGGCCUUAGGGUUGUAAAGCUCUUUUACCGGGGAUGAUAAUGACAGUACCUGGAGAAUAAGCUCCGGCUAACUCCGUG
rnacentral:rRNA from 1 species